rnacentral:lncRNA from 10 species
ACUAAGUGAACCUAGUGUAUGUAGUGGAUGGCCCAGUACCGACAUCCCAGGAUGGCUGGCUGUUCUUUCCUGGUUAUGACAGACAUAGUAACUAAUAAAGUGACUUAAAACAUCCUUUGUAAAUAAACGCUCUGUAUUCAUGACGCUGGCCCUCUCAAAUGUCUAAGGAGGGACUCUCCAUGAGUGACGUGUUUUACGUUAAAAGUAUUUAUUUGCAAUCAGGGACUCUGGCCUGUGGUGACCAUUUCUAGAAGCUGUCUAACAUAUCUUUAAAUACCGCGCCCAGAAGUGGCUUCCUUUCAUGGCAGUCUCAGUUUCUGGUUCCUAGAAGUUGCUGAUUCCAACAGCACCUGAUGACCACAAGUCAUCUGAGGGAAGCUGUGGCCAAGAAUGGAUAACAACCACAUUUUAUUCGGACACCAAAGCAAGUUGCAAUCUGAAUUGCAACCACACCUUGCAAUGGCGCCAACACAUGCAACAGAAACAGAAUUUGCACUUGGUAUGUUUAUUUCCGUUGCUCUUAAAAAUGCAAACCCACGCUAGAGCCCAUGCCAAAGACAGCUGGAACAAAUUGCAUCACCUGGAUUUUGGGGUUUGUAAUAGCUAGCCUAUGUUGGUGUGCAAAUUGGCCAGUUGUAUGCUAUUUUAAACCCUUCCUGCUCCCUUUCCCAUUUUGUGCCAAGGGCACACAAAGCUGCCCAGAAGGAAGGAAUUCAAUCAGCAUCAGAAGAAUGCAUUGAAGUCCUGUUUCCUAAACCCCAGGGGAGAGCUGAGUGGGAGGGAAGGACCCAGCUAGCUAAGGACAGAGUCCUUUUUAUGUGUCUGUUUCCCCAAGCAGAAUGCUGGGCCCAACUGAUGAAUGUUAGUGGGAGGGAACAAUGGAAGAGGGUGGCUGGAUGGCAAUGAGAGGCCUGGGAAGGGCCUGGGGAUGAGGAGGGGGUGGAAGCACUUCCUGAGGAUCCAUCCAGGCCCAGAGUUUUCAGCCGCCACCUCCAGAGCUCCGCCU